rnacentral:rRNA from 1 species
GAUGAACGCUGGCGGCGUGCUUAACACAUGCAAGUCGAACGAAGCACUUAAGACAGAUUCUUUCGGGAUGAAGAUUUUUGUGACUGAGUGGCGGACGGGUGAGUAACGCGUGGGUAACCUGCCUUAUACAGGGGGAUAGCAGUUGGAAACGACUGGUAAUACCGCAUAAGCGCACAGUACCGCAUGGUACAGUGUGAAAAACUCCGGUGGUAUAAGAUGGACCCGCGUCUGAUUAGCUAGUUGGUGAGGUAACGGCUCACCAAGGCGACGAUCAGUAGCCGACCUGAGAGGGUGACCGGCCACAUUGGGACUGAGACACGGCCCAGACUCCUACGGGAGGCAGCAGUGGGGAAUAUUGCACAAUGGAGGAAACUCUGAUGCAGCGACGCCGCGUGAGUGAAGACGUAUUUCGGUAUGUAAAACUCUAUCAGCAGGGAAGAUAAAUGACGGUACCUGACUAAGAAGCACCGGCUAAAUACGUGCCAG